rnacentral:rRNA from 1 species
GAUGAACGCUGGCGGCGUGCCUAACACAUGCAAGUCGAGCGGCAGCGCGAGUAGUUUACUACUUGGCGGCGAGCGGCGAACGGCUGAGUAACGCGUGGGAAUUUGCCCCAAAGUGAGGAAUAACUACCCGAAAGGGUGGCUAAUGCCGCAUAUGAUCUUCGGAUUAAAGGAUUUAUCCGCUUUGGGAGAAGCCCGCGUCGGAUUAGGUAGUUGGUGAGGUAAUGGCUCACCAAGCCGACGAUCCGUAGCUGGUCUGAGAGGAUGACCAGCCAGACUGGAACUGAGACACGGUCCAGACUCCUACGGGAGGCAGCAGUGAGGAAUCUUCCACAAUGGGCGAAAGCCUGAUGGAGCAACGCCGCGUGCAGGAUGAAGGCUUCGGGUUGUAAACUGCUUUUAUGAUUGAGGAAUUUGACAGUAGAUCAAAUAAGGCGGCUAAAC